UACGAAGGGGGCUAGCGUUGUUCGGAUUUACUGGGCGUAAAGCGCACGUAGGCGGAUCUUUAAGUCAGAGGUGAAAUCCCAAGGCUCAACCUUGGAACUGCCUUUGAUACUGGGGAUCUUGAGUCCGGGAGUGGUGAGUGGAACUGCGAGUGUAGAGGUGAAAUUCGUAGAUAUUCGCAAGAACACCAGUGGCGAAGGCGGCUCACUGGCCCGGUACUGACGCUGAGGCACGAAAGCGUGGGGAGCAAACAGG
rnacentral:rRNA from 1 species